rnacentral:rRNA from 1 species
GACGAACGCUGGCGGCGUGCUUAACACAUGCAAGUCGAACGGAAAGGCCCUGCUUUUGUGGGGUGCUCGAGUGGCGAACGGGUGAGUAACACGUGAGUAACCUGCCCUUGACUUUGGGAUAACUUCAGGAAACUGGGGCUCAUACCGGAUAGGAGCUCCUGCUGCAUGGUGGGGGUUGGAAAGUUUCGGCGGUUGGGGAUGGACUCGCGGCUUAUCAGCUUGUUGGUUGGGUAGUGGCUUACCAAGGCUUUGACGGGUAGCCGGCCUGAGAGGGUGACCGGCCACAUUGGGCCUGAGAUACGGCACAGACUCCUACGGGAGGCAGCAGUGGGGAAUAUUGCACAAUGGGCGGAAGCCUGAUGCAGCAACGCCGCGUGCGGGAUGACGGCCUUCGGGUUGUAAACCGCUUUCGCCUGUGACGAAGCGUGAGUGACGGUAAUGGGUAAAGAAGCACCGGCUAACUACGUG